CCUACGGGGGGCAGCAGUGGGGGAUAUUGGACAAUGGGGGAAACCCUGAUCCAGCGACGCCGCGUGAGUGAAGAAGUAUUUCGGUAUGUAAAGCUCUGUCAGCAGGGAAGAAAGAAAUGACGGUACCUGACCAAGAAGCCCCGGCUAACUACGUGCCAGCAGCCGCGGUAAUACGUAGGGGGCAAGCGUUAUCCGGAUUUACUGGAUGUAAAGGGAGCGUAGACGGCAGCACAAGUCUGGAGUGAAAUCUCGGGGCUUAACCCCGGAACUGCUUUGGAAACUGUGCGGCUGGAGUGCAGGAGGGGUAAGCGGAAUUCCUAGGGUAGCGGUGAAAUGCGUAGAUAUUAGGAGGAACACCGGUGGCGAAGGCGGCUUACUGGACUGUAACUGACGUUGAGGCUCGAAAGCGUGGGGAGCAAACAGGAUUAGAUACCCCUGUAGUC
rnacentral:rRNA from 1 species